rnacentral:rRNA from 1 species
UACGUAGGGUGCGAGCGUUAAUCGGAAUUACUGGGCGUAAAGCGUGCGCAGGCGGUGAGCUGUGUCCGAUGUGAAAGCCCCGGGCUUAACCUGGGAAUGGCAUUGGAAACUGGCUCGCUGGAGUGUGGCAGAGGGGGGUGGAAUUCCGCGUGUAGCAGUGAAAUGCGAAGAGAUGCGGAGGAACACCCAUGGCGAAGGCAGCAGACUGGGCGUUUCCUGACGCUGAGGCGCGAAAGCGUGGGUAGCAAACAGG